UACGAAGGGUGCAAGCGUUAUCCGGAUUCACUGGGUUUAAAGGGUGCGUAGGUGGGUUGGUAAGUCAGUGGUGAAAUCUCCGUGCUUAACAUGGAAACUGCCAUUGAUACUACUGAUCUUGAAUUUUCAGGAGGUAAGCGGAAUAUGUCAUGUAGCGGUGAAAUGCUUAGAUAUGACAUAGAACACCAAUUGCGAAGGCAGCUUACUACAGGAAUAUUGACACUGAUGCACGAAAGCGUGGGGAUCAAACAGG
rnacentral:rRNA from 1 species